UUGCGGCCCUAUCACGCUGAAACACCGGUUUCCGUACGAUCACCGAAGGUAAGCAAUGUCGAGUCUGGUCAGUACUGAGAAGGUUGAACUUUUGGAAAUAUCAGGUGUUGCAAG